rnacentral:rRNA from 1 species
AGAGUUUGAUUCUGGCUCAGAACGAACGCUGGCAGCGUGGAUUAGGCAUGCAAGUCGAACGGAAAUUCGGAAGUUCAAGUUUUCGGACGAGAACUUCCGAAGGAUAGUGGCGAAAGGGUGAGUAACACGUGGGUAACCUGCCCCCGAGUUUGGAAUAACCCUCCGAAAGGAGAGCUAAUACCGGAUAUGGUCAUUUGUCGCAUGGCAGGAAGAUUAAAGGUGGGGAUCCUUCGGGGCCUACCGCUUGGGGAGGGACCCGCGUCCCAUCAGCUUGUUGGUGAGGUAAUGGCUCACCAAGGCAUACGGGUAGCCGGCCUGAGAGGGUGAUCGGCCACACUGGGACUGAGACACUGCCCAGACUCCUACGGGAGGCUGCAGUCGAGGAUCAUUCGCAAUGCGCGAAAGCGUGACGAUGCGACGCUGCGUGGAGGAUGAAGGCUUUCGGGUUGUAAACUCCUGUCAUGUGGGAAAAACGAGUUCGCCCCGAAUACGGGCGGGCAGUGAUGGUACCACAAGAGGAAGCCACGGCUAACACUGUGCCAGCAGCCGCGGUAAUACAGAGGUGGCUAGCGUUGUUCGGAUUUACUGGGCGUAAAGGGUGCGUAGGCGGCCUCGUAUGUCGGAUGUGAAAUCCCACGGCUCAACCGUGGAACUGCAUUCGAAACUGCGGGGCUAGAGUUCAGGAUGGGAGAGCGGAAUUCUUGGUGUAGCGGUGAAAUGCGUUGAUAUCAAGAAGAACACCGGUGGCGAAGGCGCUCUCUGGAAUGUGACUGACGCUGAGGCGCGAAAGCCGGGGGAGCAAACAGGAUUAGAUACCCUGGUAGUCCCGGCCCUAAACGUUGCACACUUGGUGUGGGGGGUAUUGACCCCUCCCGUGCCGUAGCUAACGCGUUAAGUGUGCCGCCUGGGGAGUACGGCCGCAAGGCUAAAACUCAAAGAAAUUGACGGGGGCCCGCACAAGCGGAGGAGCAUGUGGCUUAAUUCGAUGCAACGCGAAGAACCUUACCAGGGUUUGACAUGCAGCUGCACGCCCCGUGAAAGCGGGGUUCCUUCGAGGGUGCUGCACAGGUGCUGCAUGGCUGUCGUCAGUUCGUGCCGUGAGGUGUUGGGUUAAGUCCCGCAACGAACGCAACCCUUGUGUCUAGUUGCCACUCCCGGUGAUGAGCCGGGAAGCACUUUAGACAGACUGCCCGUACAAGCGGGAGGAAGGUGGGGAUGACGUCAAGUCAGUAUGGCCCUUACACCCUGGGCUGCACACGUGCUACAAUGGCCGGUCCAGAGGGACGCAAUAUCGCGAGAUGGAGCAAAUCCUCAAAGCCGGCCCCAGUUCGGAUUGGAGUCUGCAACUCGACUCCAUGAAGUUGGAUUCGCUAGUAACGGCGUAUCAGCUACGACGCCGUGAAUACAUUCCCGGGCCUUGUACACACCGCCCGUCACAUCAUGAAAGCCGUCUGCAUCCGAAGUCGCUGAUCCAACCUGCAAGGGAGGAAGGUGCCGAAGGUGUGGGUGGUGAUUGGGAUGAAGUCGAACAAGGUA